rnacentral:rRNA from 1 species
GAUGAACGCUGGCGGCGUGCCUAACACAUGCAAGUCGAGCGGCAGCGAGGGGUGCUUGCACCCUGUCGGCGAGCGGCGGACGGCUGAGUAACGCGUGGGAACGUGCCCCAAAGUGAGGAAUAACUGCCCGAAAGGGUAGCUAAUACCGCAUAUUAUCUUCGGAUCAAAGGAGUUAUCCGCUUUGGGAGCGGCUCGCGUCGGAUUAGGGAGUUGGUGAGGUAAUGGCUCGCCAAGCCGACGAUCCGUAGCUGGUCUGAGAGGAUGACCAGCCAGACUGGAACUGAGACACGGUCCAGACUCCUACGGGAGGCAGCAGUGAGGAAUCUUCCACAAUGGGCGAAAGCCUGAUGGAGCAACGCCGCGUGCAGGACGAAGGCCUUCGGGUUGUAAACUGCUUUUAUAAGUGAGGAAUAUGACGGUAACUUAUGAAUAAGGAUCGGCUAACUACGUG